GGAUGGAGAGAGGAAGGGCGUGAGCAUGUGUCCUCACCCUAAAUCGCAGGCCGCCCAGAGAUGCCAUCUACAGUUGAAACACGUUUGAAGAUGAAAUUCAGCCUCUCUUUACUUUUGGAGAAACAAUUUAGAACUGCAAGAAGCACAAUUAUUUGCAGCUUGGCAAUUUCUUUAUGUACAUUUAGGUUUCCUUUUGUUCUGUUAAAGGUAAAUAUAUUUUUUCCAAAAAAGAGCAAGUACUGUGUGAACCCUUUUGGUAAAAAUUUCCACCCAUCUACGUGCACUGUCCUCUGAGUAUGUGCCCGAAGGACGUCCGUGGAUGGCCCUGCGGAUGCUCACUGUUCCGGAUCCCUCGGACAUUUUCUUCGUCCUCUUCAGCGUUACCUGAGUUCUUAUAAUGAGCCCGCGCUACUAUCAUAAAACGAAAAGCCUUAAAAAAUAUUAAAAUCUAUUUCUGGAAAAGAGAAAACCCUGAACUGCGCUCCUGGGGCCAGGCUGCUCGCGGGCGCCUCCGCCGGGCUCAGGGCGGCCAGUGGUAGGGGCCCAGGGGGCUGCCUGCUCUCCCGGAGGCCCCCGCCCGGGGACGUGGCUCACCCCAGUGCCAUCUGCCAGGGGUGGAGCUGGCGACCUGGCCUGGGCUCCACGCCCAGCCAGCGCCUGAGCCUCCCUGGGCCUUCCUCAGCUGCGACCCCGAGAAGUCCUCCCCCUGCCUUACGUUUGGGGUGCUGUGAGGGCCACGUGACACACAGCGUCUGAUCGUCCACAGCGAGAGGCCGCCACAGAGACUCAUUAGCACACUGGGCCGUCACGGGACUCAGUUCGACCCAUCACCACCAACCCAACCUAAAGGCGAAACCUGUCUGGGUCAGGGGCUCUCUGGCCGGUUCUGGAUCCUGACAGCCACGCCUAUGGUCUUAGCUCCACCUAGUGUCCCCACUGGGCACGGUCACAUACAACCGGCUUACUGGAGCACCGCAAUUUCCCUACUUGCAAAGGGUACAGCGCUCAUUAGGCAAACAGGACCUAAAUAAGAUCAACUUCAUCCAUUCCUUCCUGCACCGGGCUUAUGCAUUUCAAGAGCAUCUCAGAAAAGUGGCAAUCAGCAGUGGUCGGCACUUCGGGAAUUCCUGAGAACAUGAGCAUUAGUUCAGAUGCUAAGAGGUCACAUCUACUGCAGUCAGCAUUCCCCGCAGCACAGGUUCCUGCGCUGAGUAGAGCCGGGUGUGGCCAGGAGACAGAGUAAGCACAGAAGACAGAACAUGGACGCAGAUUCUGUAACACUGGGAGGAGACAGAAACUUUACUGGAGCCCAGGGGCAGGGGCAACCCUGAGACUCGCCAGGAGCAGUAAGAGGCCCGUAAACUAUGCACACUCAGAGAGAGAGAAUGUCUGUGAGGCCCAUGGAAACAGAAUCUAAGUUAACGAUCUAAAACUUUAUUUUAGUGCACAUAAAGACUUGGGUAAACAAGGUAAAAUGCAGCUUCACGGGUUCAACCCUCAAAGAUUUUGAUUCAGAGGGUGUGACAACAGGCCCGCCACCUUCAUUGUUAACGCCCCCUUCGGAGGCUGCUACCUCAGGCGGCCUGUGGCCCUGAGAGACGCGGGCUCGGCUGCAGGUGAUCGGGACCGGGCACAGCUAACGAAAGGCACUGUGCGCAGCACGUUGGCAAGUGAGGUGCGGAGAGACAAGAGGUGAGGCUCUGCAAUCCGUGCUGUCACGAGGGGGGAGAGAAACUUUGAUUCAUACUGUGGCUUCCUAGGGACCCUCCUAGGGGCCAAGUUCUCUAACGUAACCAUUCUCAUCACCAGAAAGCAAUCACCUUAUUACAGAUCAAACCUAAGUCUGUACAGCAGUCUGGUAUGGUUAUGCUGAAGCAUCUCUUCGUCAUCAGGACACCAGUCACUCCGAGUUUAACCAGUAAGGGCAGUUUUCAGUUUAAUCAGUAAGGCUGACCAGUCCCUGGAACUCAAGGAGUCAGCGGACGGCUCUGAUGUGACACUGCCUGAGAGGUAAGCAGACGCCCCCCAUAUCAGCCCAUUAGUACCGUCUCUCCCCGUCAGACUGGAGCAGAAGGAAGGCUGCAUGGAGGCGGCGGCACUGGGUCAGGCACGGGAGGAGGAGGAGGACGGUAGUAACAAGCGCCAGCAUCAGUGCCCGCCUGUGUGCCAGGUGCUUCACACAGUGACCUCGUGCUGUCUCUGCAGCAGCUCUGAGGUGAAUGCUCUCAUCGCCCCCGAGAUCACACUGCCCGUGAGUUCUGGGACUAGACCUCUGGCCCAGGUGCCUUCAGAGUGUCCAGCUUGCUGUACCUACAGGGGUCUAGACACUUGGGAGCGAGGCUGAAGGGGAUGCCCCAGUGUGGACAGGAGAGGGAGACGGCAGAGGGGGGCGGUGAGGACAGGGAGCAGCAGGGGCAGAACGGUGCCGCCUGGCCAGAGCCUGAGGUGGGAGGUAUGGCGACAAGGCUGGGCCAUGCAGGGACCUCCGGGCUCGGACUGGAGCUGGGACACGAUCACAGCCAAGCCUGAGGGGACCGCUCCGGCCGCAGAGCUGGAGGUGACGGUGGGGCCUAAGGGCGGGCAGACCAGGUGGAAAAGAGCAAAAUGGUCCAGGCAAGGAGGACACGGCCGCCGAACAGAGGUGGGGGUGGGAAUGGGAUCCGUUUCAGUGGCCAGAGGACGGGGUGGGGGCUGACAGAGACGUCAGCACCAGGAGGACGUAAAACCCACACACCCAAGGCUGGAUUUUUACUAAUGGACACAAAAUAUCACAGGAUUCAACUACAGAUAAAGGGUUAAAAACAGAAAGGAACAGCAUUGUGACUGGCUAUCUGGGAGGAAAGUCACUCUCAUCAGCCCCACUGGGGAGGGGACAGCAACAACCCAGGCUGCCUCGGCCCGGCCGCCACCCAGGGGUGCC